rnacentral:rRNA from 1 species
UCUGGUUGAUCCUGCCAGUUGUCAUAUGCUUGUUUCAAAGACUAAGCCAUGCAAAUGUGAGAGUACUUGCGCCUUCGGGCGCUGAGGGGUCCGUGUACGGCUCAUUAAACGGUUUAUUGUCUACCCAACGGCGAAGCUGCUCGCAGCUUCCAACGGGAUAACUUUGCUAACUGCAAAGCUAAUACCUGUAAGAAGGACCUUGCACCGUCUCAACACUCCGAGGGCAACCAAAGGGUGUGGUGUGGGGUGCGAUUCGCCGGAACAAAAACCAACGCCCUCCCCGGGCAGUUGAUGUUGCUGAGGCAGGCGAACGAAGCGAAAGCGCCGCUUCUGGCGCGGUGUUGGACGAAUUUACCACCUAUCAGGUUGAAGGUAGUGUAGUGGACUACCUUGCCUCUGACGGGUAACGGAGAAUUGGGGUUCGAUUCCGGAGAGGGUGCCUGAGAAACGGCAACCAUGACUAUGGUCAGCAGCAGGCGCGCAAAUUGCCCAAUGCCAAUCGUGGCGAGGCAGCGACGAAAAAUAAUAACUCUGGUGCACUACGUGUGUCAGGGAUUGUAAUGGAUUGUACCUAUACCCACUGCUGAGAACCAAUUGGAGGGCAAGUCUGGUGCCAGCAGCCGCGGUAAUUCCAGCUCCAAGAGCGUAUAUAAAUGUUGUUGUGGUUAAAAAGCCCGUAGUUGGAUUUGAGGGUGCCGAUUGCGGAGGGGCCUGGGGCUGUCUCUUCGGAGGGGGCCUCGGAUCACCCCGCCGCGCAUAGUCGGUGCUCUGUCUUGAUGCGGGAACGAUCGUCGGCGGAAGCCUCCUUAAUUGGUGGUGGAAGCAACUCCGGAGCGUUUCACUCCAAAAGACGCGCCCGCAGACGUCACUGUGAGCAAAGCAGAGUGUUCAAGGCAACCGACUUGUUUGGUUGAAUGUUAAAGCAUGGAAUGACAAGGGAUCGACCACUGUGGGCCUCUUUUUGUUGGUUUUUAAGCCUCAGUGUGGUAAACAUGCGCAGGUGCUUCGGCGGGUUGCGUGUCUUCGGGCACCUGCCCGUUGAGCCCUCGUGCACAUGGGAUCAAUAGGAGCACAGGGGGCCAUGAGUAUUGGGGGGCUAGAGGUGAAAUUCUGAGACCCCUCCAAGACUGACAUCGGCGAAAGCACUUGGCUAUUGUGCUUUCAUUAAUCAAGGACGUGAGAUGGGGGAUCGAAGAGGAUUAGACACCCUCGUAGUCCCUUCUGUAAAUUCUGCAGACUUGGGAUCGGUCAGCGCUCUUUUUUCUGACCUGAUCGGCACCUUCCUCCUGAACUCGAGAAAUCAACAGAGUUUUUGUGUUCCGGGGGGAGUACAUUCGCAAGGCUGAAACUUAAAGGAAUUGACGGAGAACCACCACCAGUCGUGGAGUGUGUGGCUUAAUUCGACCCAACACGGGAAAUUUUACCAGGCCAGGACAUGGUCAGGAUUGCCAGAC